rnacentral:rRNA from 1 species
AUUGAACGCUGGCGGAAGGCCUAACACAUGCAAGUCGAACGAGUGGCGGACGGGUGAGUAAUGUAUGGGAAACUGCCUGAUGGAGGGGGAUAACUACUGGAAAAGGUAGCUAAUACCGCAUACAAUCAGAUGUGCCCAGAUGGGAUUAGCUAGUUGGUGGGGUAACGGCUCACCAAGGCGACGAUCCCUAGCUGGUCUGAGAGGAUGAACAGCCACACUGGAACUGAGACACGGUCCAGACUCCGACGGGAGGCAGCAGUGGGGAAUAUUGCACAGUGGGCGCAUGCCUGAGGCAGCCAUGCCGAUUGUAUGAAGAGGGCCUUCGGGUUGUAAAGGACUUUCAGCGGGGGGGCGUUACCCACAGAAUUAGCACCGGCUAACUCCGUCACAGCCGCCGCGGUAAUUC